rnacentral:lncRNA from 1 species
AAAAGAACCUUCGCCGAGAAGGCUGCUAAUGAAUUCAGACUGCAUAGUUCUCAAAAUCUGAUGUUUUGCAAUGAUGACAUUAGCGUGGCGGCCGAGGGUCCGAGCCCAGAAAGUCUGCGCAGCUGCUCGGCGCUUUGAGCGCCCGGGACAAUGGGCGCAGUGUUCGGCCUCGGCCUCUCCAGGCCAUUUGCAUACCCCGUUCUGCCUGAGUGACCGGCGGAGCUGCGGCAGGGAGCAGCAUUGUCCACGGGUCACUUCAAGAUGAGCGAGAUGACAAGAGCCAGAAACACCAUUUUGAAAAGUUGCAACUGAGGCCCCUUGGCCGGCAAAUCUGAGCUGCAGAAGCGCCUGAAUUCCGGACGUUAAACCUCCAAUCACCAGCCAGGGCAGCUCCGGCUGGGACAGCGCGGGCGCGCGGCCCCUCCACCGCCGCCAAACGGAGCGCGCUUGACGCCCCCGUUUUGACUUCAGCUCAGAAAGACAAGUCUUUGUAAUGCAAGUUCCUCUUCCCUAGAGAGUUGACGCACCACCUGCCACCAUCUCUACCCCUAGCCCUGGAGCGGCCUGCAGAACUGGGACUCUUCUCUUGUGGAUUUCAAUCGUGGGGCGUGUAACUGUUGCCAAUAAUUUUCAGAGACCUGGAUCCUUAAGGAGGGGAUCCUGGGGGAGGGACCUGAGGUGGGAACGGGUGGGUGGGACGAAGGACGAAGCCAGAAAAACCGAGACAACAGGAGGGAGGCAAGGGACCGAGGGCAACGUUUCUCCCAAGUGAAACACGCUGCAUUCCGGCACCGACGGCUCCUCCGGCGCCUGGGCCCCCCCAGGCCCCGCCGCGAUGCACCCAGGGCCUCCCGAGGCCGCGCUCCACCCAGGCUGCUCCGGGUCCGCAGCCCCACAGGCCCUCCUCCCCUCACCCCUCCUCCUCCCUCCGCCUCCCGCACCCGCGCACCACCCACUCGAGCGAAAAGCAAGUCAAGCAAAUCCUGGGGAAGGCGCCCCACAGCCCUCUCCCGCGGGCACCAACACCUGGGCACACCGCGUCUCAGGCGGUAGCGGAGCUGGCCCACACCGGCCCCGCCAGCGCCCGGGAGGCGUCUCCAGGUCCCUACCCGCGUUCGCUGCGGAUUGCAGCGACGCUCAUCUCGGGAAUAUAACGAUUAAUCCAA